rnacentral:rRNA from 1 species
UAGGGAAUCUUCGGCAAUGGACGAAAGUCUGACCGAGCAACGCCGCGUGAGUGAAGAAGGUUUUCGGAUCGUAAAACUCUGUUGUUAGAGAAGAACAAGGACGUUAGUAACUGAACGUCCCCUGACGGUAUCAAACCAGAAAGCCACGGCUAACUACGUGCCAGCAGCCGCGGUAAUACGUAGGUGGCAAGCGUUGUCCGGAUUUAUUGGGCGUAAAGCGAGCGCAGGCGGUUUCUUAAGUCUGAUGUGAAAGCCCCCGGCUCAACCGGGGAGGGUCAUUGGAAACUGGGAGACUUGAGUGCAGAAGAGGAGAGUGGAAUUCCAUGUGUAGCGGUGAAAUGCGUAGAUAUAUGGAGGAACACCAGUGGCGAAGGCGGCUCUCUGGUCUGUAACUGACGCUGAGGCGCGAAAGCGUGGGGAGCAAACAGG